rnacentral:rRNA from 1 species
GAUGAACGCUGGCGGCGUGCCUAAUACAUGCAAGUCGAGCGAACAGACGAGGAGCUUGCUCCUCUGACGUUAGCGGCGGACGGGUGAGUAACACGUGGAUAACCUACCUAUAAGACUGGGAUAACUUCGGGAAACCGGAGCUAAUACCGGAUAAUAUAUUGAACCGCAUGGUUCAAUAGUGAAAGACGGUUUUGCUGUCACUUAUAGAUGGAUCCGCGCCGCAUUAGCUAGUUGGUAAGGUAACGGCUUACCAAGGCAACGAUGCGUAGCCGACCUGAGAGAGUGAUCGGCCACACUGGAACUGAGACACGGUCCAGACUCCUACGGGAGGCAGCAGUAGGGAAUCUUCCGCAGUGGGCGAAAGCUUGACGGAGCAACGCCGCGUGAGUGAUGAAGGUCUUCGGAUCGUAAAACUCUGUUAUUAGGGAAGAACAAAUGUGUAAAUAACUAUGCACGUCUUGACGGUACCUAAUCAGAAAGCCACGGCUAACUACGUG